rnacentral:rRNA from 1 species
UACGAAGGGAGCUAGCGUUGUUCGGAAUUACUGGGCGUAAAGGGCGCGUAGGCGGACAUCUAAGUCAGGGGUGAAAUCCCAGGGCUCAACCCUGGAAUUGCCUUUGAUACUGGACGUCUCGAGUUCGGGAGAGGUGAGUGGAAUUCCGAGUGUAGAGGUGAAAUUCGUAGAUAUUCGGAGGAACACCAGAAGCGGAAGGCGGCUCACUGGCCCCGAUACUGACGCUGAGGCGGCGAAA